GGAUUUGCAGGACGUCGAGCGGCGGACGGGUGAGUAACGGCUGGGAACCUGCCCUGACGAGGGGGAUAACCGUUGGAAACGACGGCUAAUACCGCAUAAUGUCUUGAUUCGUUAGAGUCAGGACCAAAGGUGGCCUCUACAUGUAAGCUAUCGCGUUGGGAUGGGCCCAGUUAGGAUUAGCUAGUUGGUAAGGUAAUGGCUUACCAAGGCAACGAUCCUUAGCUGGUUUGAGAGGAUGAUCAGCCACACUGGGACUGAGACACGGCCCAGACUCCUACGGGAGGCAGCAGUGGGGAAUAUUGCACAAUGGGGGAGACCCUGAUGCAGCCAUGCCGCGUGUGUGAAGAAGGCCUUCGGGUUGUAAAGCACUUUCAGCAGUGAGGAAGGUCGUGUACUUAAUACGUGCACGGCUUGACGUUAGCUGCAGAAGAAGCACCGGCUAACUCCGUGCCAGCAGCCGCGGUAAUACGGAGGGUGCGAGCGUUAAUCGGAAUUACUGGGCGUAAAGCGCAUGCAGGCGGUUUGUUAAGUCAGAUGUGAAAGCCCGGGGCUCAACCUCGGAACCGCAUUUGAAACUGGCAGGCUAGAGUCUUGUAGAGGGGGGUAGAAUUUCAGGUGUAGCGGUGAAAUGCGUAGAGAUCUGAAGGAAUACCAGUGGCGAAGGCGGCCCCCUGGACAAAGACUGACGCUCAGAUGCGAAAGCGUGGGUAGCAAACAGGAUUAGAUACCCUGGUAGUCCACGCCGUAAACGCUGUCUACUUGGAGGUUGAGGUUUUAGACUUUGGCUUUC
rnacentral:rRNA from 1 species